UGUUCCCGUAAAAAGAGCAAUUAUAUCGAAAACAAACCCACCCACUUCCUUUUCCCCGAUACUUUCUCACCUCCGCCCCUCUCUCCGGCGCUCACCUCCACUCCCGUCGCCGCUCUCACGACUCCUCGACAUUCUUAGGGCAAGCGUGUAGAACUUUGGCUUUGAAACUAGCUGUUUGGAGAUAGGAUCUGUAGAGAUGAUGACGAUUUGCUAAGAAUUGUGGAAUUCUGUUAUUUGCGACGCUUUCAUGUUGAAUUAAUUUCAGAGUUGCAAGAAUUCGAAGCAGAGCAGAAGUAUCAGAGAAAGGAAAAGAGAGUUUUAAAUAAUGGCGGAUUACCAUUUUGUUUACAAAGAUGUAGAAGAGGUUUGGUCGUCUAAAGGUGACACGACUCCUACGAGAUCUGGUCGGGGAUGACACUGCUCAUAUGUGAUGAAGAGUUCUGACCAUCUUUAG